rnacentral:rRNA from 1 species
AACGAACGCUGGCGGCAUGCCUAACACAUGCAAGUCGAACGGGAUCCUAGCUUGCUAGGUGAGAGUGGCGGACGGGUGAGUAACACGUGGGAAUCUGCCUUUUGGUUCGGGAUAACCGCGGGAAACUGCGGCUAAUACCGAAUGCCCUCGAGAGAGGAAAGAUUUAUCGCCAGAAGAGGAGCCCGCGUCCGAUUAGGUAGUUGGUGGGGUAAAAGGCCUACCAAGCCGACGAUCGGUAGCUGGUCUGAGAGGAUGAUCAGCCACACUGGGACUGAGAUACGGCCCAGACUCCUACGGGAGGCAGCAGUGGGGAAUAUUGGACAAUGGGGGCAACCCU